UGAAUGAAUGGAGUGUACUUGAAUUGAAGAAGCUAGGACUCCUCCUAUUCCUAUUUCUUAUACUUGUAAUUCUAAACACAGAGAGAGUUUGCAGUCUUCUAGGCUAGGCUAGGCUAGUGGAUCCAAUAUCCAUGUUCCCCAGUCUUCUCCUUUCCGCCUUAUUCAGCCAGCCGAUGACAGUGAGGGAAGGAAGCAACGCUGUUUGUUUCCACCAUCGAUCAUGCGACAGAGAAUCGAGUAAGUUUCGUUAUUAUUCUGUGAGCUUGAAUGGAGAUUCUUAGUUUUCGCGCCAAUACUGAGUCAGAUACUUUUAUUGGACGAGGACGACAAAACUGUGGCAGGGAACAACAAUCAAUUUUAAACCUGUGCUUCAUCAGAUGGAGACAGUGACCGUAAAAGUUCCGACUCUGCAUUCAUGGAAUAAAUCCAGAUAGAUGAUUAGCAAGUUUGGAUAUGGAUUUGGUGUUUUCUGGUGGUAUAUUGAGACCACAAGGCCUUUCUGAAUUUGGACAUAAAGGAUUAAGUGGGGGGAGUGGAUGCCUUACCUGUCUGAAUUUAAUGUUUUCUGGAUAUAUAUGGUAAAUGAGCAAACCAGCAAGGUACGUACAUAAAGGAAAUGAAGGAGGGGGGACAUGAUAUUCCCACAUUGCUAGAUUAGAAAGAGAUGAAUGUAAUCCACUUUUGGGAGAAGAUGCUGCAAAAGAUUAUAUUGCUGCUACUCUUAAAGGCUAAUGUUAACAAUGCUUCAAGCUGGACUCUUUUCAAAUGGAAGGAAUUCCAAAUUUGUUUGUUAUGAAAGCUGGACUCUUUUCAAUAAAGCUGGAUACUUCAAUGAUCUUCUGCUAUGAAAGUUUAGUUGCAAAUGCUGCUGGAAUUGCUUCAUUUGUUUGUUGCACUUAACAAAUGAGGAGAUAUUACGAGUUACGUUAACUGUUGGACUUAACAAAGGACCACUUCAGAAGGGUUUGGUUUUAUUCAAUACGACACUCUUGAGGAUUCUGCAGCAGGGAUACAGGGCAUGAUUGGAAAGUUCUUGGAGGGAUGGGUUGGCUAUCUUUGCUGAAUAUGCCAGACCAAUGACUCCACUGCCUUCGGUCGGGAACAACAUUGCUGGGAUGCGGCAUAAUGUUGACGAAUUUGGUAUAUAUUGAGCCUCGAAGACAAUAGAUGCUCGACAUAAAUGACAAUAAAGGAAUGAUACAAAAUCCCACAUUGAUAUAUUGAUUGGAAAGGUAAUGUCAUGAAUAUAACUGACUAAAAUUAACAUUAUAAUCGCUGGGCUCAUUAGCAUUUAACCCAAGCGAGGGCAUCAUAUCUAAAGUUGUCUGACGAGAGAAUUUCAGUUGAAUUUGAGGCAAAUGCCAAAUAAUAGAUAGUCGAAUUCUGGUGCUUUCUUUUCAUAAGAACCAAAAGGUAUGAAUGGACAAAGAACUGAAGUAACAAAGC